rnacentral:rRNA from 1 species
UACAGAGGUCUCAAGCGUUGUUCGGAUUCAUUGGGCGUAAAGGGUGCGUAGGCGGCGCGGUAAGUCGGGUGUGAAAUCUCGGAGCUUAGCUCCGAAACUGCAUUCGAUACUGCCGUGCUUGAGGACUGGAGAGGAGACUGGAGUUUACGGUGUAGCGGUGAAAUGCGUAGAUAUCGUAAGGAAGACCAGUGGCGAAGGCGGGUCUCUGGAACGCAACUGACGCUGAGACGCGAAAGCGUGGGGAGCAAACAGG